GACGAACGCUGGCGGCGUGCUUAACACAUGCAAGUCGAACGGAAAGGCCCUGCUUUUGUGGGGUGCUCGAGUGGCGAACGGGUGAGUAACACGUGAGUAACCUGCCCUUGACUUUGGGAUAACUUCAGGAAACUGGGGCUAAUACCGGAUAGGAGCUCCUGCUGCAUGGUGGGGGUUGGAAAGUUUCGGCGGUUGGGGAUGGACUCGCGGCUUAUCAGCUUGUUGGUGGGGUAGUGGCUUACCAAGGCUUUGACGGGUAGCCGGCCUGAGAGGGUGACCGGCCACAUUGGGACUGAGAUACGGCCCAGACUCCUACGGGAGGCAGCAGUGGGGAAUAUUGCACAAUGGGCGGAAGCCUGAUGCAGCAACGCCGCGUGCGGGAUGACGGCCUUCGGGUUGUAAACCGCUUUCGCCUGUGACGAAGCGUGAGUGACGGUAAUGGGUAAAGAAGCACCGGCUAACUACGUGCCAGCAGCCGCGGUGAUACGUAGGGUGCGAGCGUUGUCCGGAUUUAUUGGGCGUAAAGGGCUCGUAGGUGGUUGAUCGCGUCGGAAGUGUAAUCUUGGGGCUUAACCCUGAGCGUGCUUUCGAUACGGGUUGACUUGAGGAAGGUAGGGGAGAAUGGAAUUCCUGGUGGAGCGGUGGAAUGCGCAGAUAUCAGGAGGAACACCAGUGGCGAAGGCGGUUCUCUGGGCCUUUCCUGACGCUGAGGAGCGAAAGCGUGGGGAGCGAACAGGCUUAGAUACCCUGGUAGUCCACGCUGUAAACGGUGGGUACUAGGUGUGGGGUCCAUUCCACGGGUUCCGUGCCGUAGCUAACGCUUUAAGUACCCCGCCUGGGGAGUACGGCCGCAAGGCUAAAGCUCAAAGGAAUUGACGGGGCCCCGCACAAGCGGCGGAGCAUGCGGAUUAAUUCGAUGCAACGCGUAGAACCUUACCUGGGUUUGACAUGGAUCGGGAGUGCUCAGAGAUGGGUGUGCCUCUUUUGGGGUCGGUUCACAGGUGGUGCAUGGCUGUCGUCAGCUCGUGUCGUGAGAUGUUGGGUUAAGUCCCGCAACGAGCGCAACCCUUGUUCACUGUUGCCAGCACGUUAUGGUGGGGACUCAGUGGAGACCGCCGGGGUCAACUCGGAGGAAGGUGGGGAUGACGUCAAGUCAUCAUGCCCCUUAUGUCCAGGGCUUCACGCAUGCUACAAUGGCUGGUACAGAGAGUGGCGAGCCUGUGAGGGUGAGCGAAUCUCGGAAAGUCGGUCUCAGUUUGGAUUGGGGUCUGCAACUCGACCUCAUGAAGUCGGAGUCGCUAGUAAUCGCAGACCAGCAACGCUGCGGUGAAUACGUUCCCGGGGCU
rnacentral:rRNA from 1 species